CGGGAAUUGGUGACGUCACAACCGACAGCGGAUACAGAAGACAAACAUCCCCAAACAACGUUGUUGUUUUAAUUGCUUCAAGGGUGACACAAUUCCACCUCAACCAAAGAGUGACAACAGUAAAAAAAAAAAAUAUAUAUAUAUAUUGGCCUCUGCAGUGCACUCAAUGCAAGUACUAAGCAGAGGGCGAAAGAGAGCUAUGGAAGGUCCACAGUUCACUAUCAUGUCUGAAGUCACUCCUGCAGAGUUUGGAUAUCUCUCUGAUCAAGAUGGACUUGGGUUCCAGUUCUCCUUCCUUUCUGUCCAGGUGUGCGCCUUCACUGGGUGUCUACAUCUGUUAAGUAGCGUCUCGCUGCCCCGUGUUUAGCUUAGUGAUAAGGAGCAGAGUUUCCAUUCGCUACCUCACGCACACAUUGUCACAUAACCCGGCCAUUACUUUGCAUCAUUGAGGUUUAUUUUACCUGAUAAGCACU